GAUGAACGCUGGCGGCGUGCUUAACACAUGCAAGUCGAACGGACAGGCCAGGCUCUUGCGGGGUGCUCGUGUGGCGAACGGGUGUGUAACACGCGAGUAUCCUCCCCUUGUCAUUGUGAUAACUUCAGGAGACUGGGGCUCAUACCGGGUAUGAGCUCCUGCUGCAUGGUGGUGGUUGGUAAGAUUCGGCGGUUGGGGAUUGAUUCGCGGCGUAACAGCUUGUUGGUGGGGUAGUGGCUUACCAAGGUUUUGACGGGUAGCCGGCCUGAGAGGGUGACCGGCCAUAUUGGCACUGAGGGACGGCCCAGACUCCUACGGGAGGGAGCAGGGCGGAAUAUUGCACGAGGGGCGGAAGCCGGAUGCAGCAACGCCGCGUGCGGGAUGACGGCCUUCGGGUUGUAGACCGCUUUCGCCUGUGACGAAGCGUGAGUGAAGGUAAUGUGUAAAGAAGGCCCGGCUAAAUACGGG
rnacentral:rRNA from 1 species